rnacentral:rRNA from 1 species
GAUGAACGCUAGCGAUAGGCUUAACACAUGCAAGUCGAGGGGCAGCAUGGUCUUAGCUUGCUAAGACUGAUGGCGACCGGCGCACGGGUGCGUAACGCGUAUGCAACUUGCCUCACAGAGGGGGAUAACCCGUCGAAAGACGGACUAAUACCGCGUACACUCUAUUUUGGGCAUCCAAGGUAGAGGAAAUGAACUUCGCUGUGAGAUAGGCAUGCGUCCCAUUAGCUAGUUGGUGAGGUAACGGCUCACCAAGGCGACGAUGGGUAGGGGAACUGAGAGGUUGAACCCCCACACUGGUACUGAGACACGGACCAGACUCCUACGGGAGGCAGCAGUGAGGAAUAUUGGUCAAUGGGCGAGGGCCUGAACCAGCCAAGUCGCGUGAAGGAUGACUGUCUUAUGGAUUGUAAACUUCUUUUGUAGGGGAAUAAAGAGGGGCACGUGUGCCCCAGUGAAUGUACCCUACGAAUAAGCAUCGGCUAACUCCGUG